UGGGGAAUUUUGGACAAUGGGCGAAAGCCUGAUCCAGCAAUGCCGCGUGUGUGAAGAAGGCCUUCGGGUUGUAAAGCACUUUUGUCCGGAAAGAAAUCCUUGGCUCUAAUACAGUCGGGGGAUGACGGUACCGGAAGAAUAAGCACCGGCUAACUACGUGCCAGCAGCCGCGGUAAUACGUAGGGUGCAAGCGUUAAUCGGAAUUACUGGGCGUAAAGCGUGCGCAGGCGGUUUGCUAAGACCGAUGUGAAAUCCCGGGCGUCAACCUGGGAACUGCAUUGGUGACUGGCAGGCUAGAGUAUGGCAGAGGGGGUGAGAAUUCCACGUGUGAGCAGUGAAAUGCGUAGAGAUGUGGAGGAAUACCGAUGGCGAAGGCAGCCCCUGG
rnacentral:rRNA from 1 species